UUUCAGGAUCCAGUCCUACGUACCAACCUACCUGCUGUCCUCAUGCACUUUGAUUAUGCUGUAGCACUUAGCACCAUGACCAAGAUCUCUAUUCAUUUAAGUGAUCAGAUCAGGGCUUUCAGGAGGAAGGGGAAAUCUACUGAGGACAUUUCAAAAAUACUGUUCGAUUUGGGGAUUACAGUCACGGACAGUGCUAUUCGAAAACACUAUCGUCAGAUGCCUGUUUUACGCCGAACGCGAAAGCCCAGGAAAAUGAACAGUUUCGACCCAAUGGAAAAACGCAUGGUUCCAAAGAAAGCGGCCAUGAUAGAUGGGGGGCCAGCGCAGUACCAUUCCGCUCAGCUGAUGAAGUUGCACAUGGAGCAGAUUCAAACUUUGAAAACUGACAUCGAGUCAUUGAAGGUAGACCAGCAGAAAGAGAAACAUUCUCUGAGGGUAGAGAUACGGGCUACAGCUGAUGCAUUGGUCCAGAGCCAGGUGGCAUUGACAGAGUGCCAGGCCGCAUUGGUGGAGAGUCAGACAGAGAAUGGCUCGUUGAAGAGGGCGAGGGAAGAGAUGAUGGAGUCACAAUUCAUGCCAAUCCAUGUGAGCUCCGGAACUCCACUUCCGACAGGCAGUUCGUCAGUUCACCCUGACAUUUCCAUUCCUCGACUGACACCAGAACGUAACGAACUGCUCACCGAGCACAGCAUGGGCCGCCCGGACCGUUAUGCUGUUGUGCUAUUCCAAGAAUGCGUAACCAAAGAGAGAUAUCGCGAGUGGGCACAGAAUACCAAUUGGGAUGGAUCCAGAGGCAAAUUUGGCUUACCAGUGAAUCUCCGAGUGUUCAUCAUGAAAAAUGUGUCUCAGAUGUUUCUCUCCUUGAGUGAUGCAACCCGAAAAAGCAUAAAAGAUAGAGUAAAUGAAUAUUUGAGGAAGCCGAGGAAGUCUGGAUAUGGCAUGGCCCGUUUUCCUUGAAUUAGGCAUAUGUCUACAGUAUGUAGGCUAGUAAAAUUAUAGUUGCCCUGUUUGCUGUUUUUGUCACACUUUACAGUGGCCUAAUAAACAUCCAUAUUUUGAAUGUA